CAUACACCAUGCUCAGGAGUUAGAAUAAGGAAAUCUGCCCAGUUUCCUGGAGUUUUGGACAUAGACCUUCAUCUCUUUUGGAGUUAUCCCACUUGGUCAGGAAGAUAUGGAGGCUCCCACUAUGUACUCCUUUUUUAUGAGGAGUUCAACAGAAAAAGAAUCAUAAGGAAAAAAGGCAAAGGGAGAAAAAGUCCAAGGAGACAAGACACAGAGCUUCUAAUAUCAAUAAAGAUGACGGAGAGAUAAGCUUGGGGAUAAAGAAAAUGGGGAUCAGAAAACUCAAGUUCAGAUGUUGGCCUCCAAAUCCCCAAAUGGGAACAUCUGCUGGGACAGCCACUCAACAAAUAAGCAGGCAAUUAGGUAGCAGAUGCAGCUGUGCCAAGAACAUGGGACCACCAGCAGCGGGGACACUACAGGAGGGAGAGUCCUUGGAAAGAUACUCUCACGAUCAUACAAGAGUCAGAUGGUCUAAGUAAGCUGAAGGGCAAGAGAA